rnacentral:tRNA from 1 species
GGUCUGGUAGUUCAGUUGGUUUAGAAUGCCGCCCUGUCACGGCGGAGGUCGCGAGUUCGAGUCUCGUCCAGACCGCAA